AUUGAACGCUGGCGGCGGGCCUAACACAUGCAAGUCGAGCGGAGCGGCGGACGGGUGAGUAAUGCCUAGGAAUCUGCCUGGUAGUGGGGGAUAACGUACGGAAACGGGCGCUAAUACCGCAUACGUUCAGACGAGCCUAGGUCGGAUUAUCUAGUGGGUGGGGUAAAGGCCUACCAAGGCUACGAUCCGUAACUGGUCUGAUGGGAUGAUCAGUCACACGGGAACUGAGAAACGGUCCGGACUCCUACGGGAGGCAGCGGUGGGGAAUAUUGGACAAUGGGCGAAAGCCUGAUCCAGCCAUGCCGCGUGUGGGAAGAAGGUCUUCGGAUUGUAAAGCACUUUAAGUUGGGAGGCGUUACCAGCAGAAUAAGCACCGGCUAACUUCGUGCCAGCAGCCGCGGUAAUUC
rnacentral:rRNA from 1 species